rnacentral:rRNA from 1 species
UACGUAGGGGGCGAGCGUUGUCCGGAAUGACUGGGCGUAAAGGGCGUGUAGGCGGCGAACUAAGUCUGGAGUGAAAGUCCUGCUUUUAAGGUGGGAAUUGCUUUGGAUACUGGAUUGCUUGAGUGCGGAAGAGGUAAGUGGAAUUCCCAGUGUAGCGGUGAAAUGCGUAGAGAUUGGGAGGAACACCAGUGGCGAAGGCGACUUACUGAGCCGUAACUGACGCUGAGGCGCGAAAGCGUGGGGAG